CGGCGCGGCGCCGGGCGGGGUGCGGCGGCAACAACCGCAGAAGGAGCAGCAGCUUGGGCGCCUGGCGGGUACCGGGCAGGGGACGGCGUGUCCCCCUGUGUCCCCGCACACGCCCGGGAGCCGGCACGCCGGCGGGGCAGUGGCCGCCGCUAACGCAAGAGGUGGAGAAACUACAAUUUUCAUAUCCUAAUCUUAUUCAAAAUUGCUUUUGGCAUUGGGAGCCUGAAUAUUCUCCUUCUGGAGUCAUCAUAUAUAAGAAUUGUCUAAAGCAUUGUAAAGCUGUUGCCCAAUAGACGAACAUGGAGACACAGCUAGACCCCAUGAAGGAUGACUUGCCCUUACUGGCAAAUACUAGCUACAUGCUUGUAAAGCACUAUGUACUGGACUUGGAUGUGGAUUUUAAAGGUAAAGUUAUUGAAGGCAGCAUAGUUUUGUUCUUGGAGACUGGGAGCCAACACAGGAAAACCAGCAGUGCUGGCAAAGAAUGCUGUCAGUCACAGUUUGAUGAAACCUGUGAAAUGAGGGCAUCUGAACCCUGCCACAUUCCUAUAAUAAAUGUGCCUACCUGUUCAUCUAAAACGGAAUAUAACGAUUUUGCUAUCAGUGGUAAAGAAGAAGAAGCUACUGCUGAUGAAAAUAGUAACCAUAGCAACAAUGAACAGGCUUCUGGGAUUUCUAGUUCAAAGGACCCCUGUGACAUAGAGAAUCAUGGAAACAAGGAUUUUCUGCUGGUAUUGGAUUGCUGUGAUUUAGCUGUGCUAAAGGUUGAAGAGGUAGAUGUUGCUGCUGUGUCAGGCAUUGAAAAACUUAUAAGGCCUGCCAAGCUAACUGGUGUUUCACAGGAGCUGGAAAAUCUCAGGAACCAGAUUGUACAUGAACUUGUGACUUUACCUGUGGAUCGCUGGAAGGAACAGUUACACUAUUCUACUCUCUGUAGCCAGGCACCUGGCUGUGGGGAGCUUGUGUUUAGUACUGGCACCUGGAGCCUGGAGAUAAGGAAAUCAGGAAUUCAGACUCCAGCAGACUUUCCUCAUGCAAUAAGAAUAUGGUACAAAACCAAACCAGAGGGAAGAUCUGUUACAUGGACUACAGACCAGAGUGGCAGGCCGUGUGUUUAUACGAUGGGAUCACCAAUAAACAACAGAGCCCUCUUUCCAUGCCAAGAACCACCCAUUGCCUUGUCAACAUGGCAAGCCUCAGUCCGAACAGCUGCAGGCUUUGUUGUGUUAAUGAGUGGUGAAAACUCUGCAGAACCAGUCCAGCUUCGAGAAGGUGUUUUGAGCUGGUACUACUAUGUGUCUAUGCCAAUGCCAGCAUCCACCUUCACUGUUGCUGUGGGGUGCUGGCAGGAAGUUAAACAGCAAUCCUUCAAACAAACAGCUGCUAUUGAAACAAACACUGAGUUCCCCUUGCCAUCAUCACAAACUGAUUUCAGAUGGCAUGAAGAAACCUGUGGUCAUGUGGAAUAUCCCUGCCGUUUCCAAAAUCCUGCUGCCAGGUUGCAGGCAGUCAUUCCUUAUAGAGUCUUUGCUCCCUGGUGCCUUAUGGAAAGCUGCGAAGAAUAUUUGCUUCAGCUAAUUCCUCAGUGUCUCUCAGCUGCUUACGCCACACUGGGUACCCACCCCUUUUCCAGGCUUGAUGUUCUGAUAGUUCCUUCCAACUUUUCCAGCCUGGGAAUGGCUAGCCCACACAUCAUCUUUCUGUCACAAAGUGUACUACCAGGAGGAAGCCAUCUCUGUGGAACACGUCUGUGUCAUGAAAUAGCUCAUGCUUGGUUUGGACUGGCCAUUGGUGCUCGUGAUUGGACUGAAGAGUGGAUAAGUGAAGGGUUUGCCACGUUUUUAGAAGAUAUAUUUUGGGCUAGAGCACAACAGCUGUCACAUGAUGAAAUAAAAGGGCAACAGGAAUUGAAAGCUUUGCUUCGCUGGCGCCGACUCAGAGAUGAAGUGCAAAACUCUGAAGAAGAGCUGCAAGUUUUAAGGCCCAAAAAGGAGAGCACAGGAGAAUUUAGUGAGUCUGGAGCUUCUGUUGUCAAGUAUGGUCUUAAAGCAGAAAAAAUCUUCAUGCAGGUUCACUAUUUGAAGGGUUAUUUUCUUUUACGGUCUCUGGCAAAGACCAUAGGAGAGGUCUCAUACCUUGCAUCUUUACGGAAAUUUGUCGUUAAGUUCCACGGGCAGCUUGUCCUUUCUCAGGAUUUUCUUAGCAUGCUGUUGGAAGACAUUCCUAAACAAAAAGAGUCUGGGUUAACUGUAGAAAGUAUCUUCCAGAACUGGCUGGACACUUCUGGAAUACCAAAGCCCCUGUUGGAGGAGGGAGAGACGUGGAAGGAGUGUCAGCUCGUCCAGCAAGUGAGCGGCGAGGUCACAAAAUGGACUCAGACAAACCGGAGGAUCAGAAAAAGCAGCAAAAAGAAAAUGAAACAGGAUGAAGUUGUUUUCCAGCAGCUUCUCCCUGACCAGCUGGUCUUACUUCUGGAGUCCCUUUUGGAGGAGAAGACAUUGUGUCCUAGAAUACUGCAAUGCUUGGAGAGAACAUACCAGCUCCGGGAGCAAGAUGCUGAGGUUCGUCAUCGGUGGUGUGAACUUGUCAUCAAACACAAAUAUGAGCCUGGGUAUGGAGAUGUUGAGAGAUUCCUCAGAGAAGAUCAGGCUAUGGGUGUGUAUCUCUAUGGUGAAUUAAUGGUGAAUGAAGAUGCAAAACAACAAGAACUUGCACGGAAAUGCUUUGCUGCAGCACAAGAACAUAUGGAUGCAUCCUCAGCCAAAGUGGUGGCAGAGAUGUUAUUCUGAAAAGUGCCUGUUUUUGAGUCGUACCCUCCACGUCUGUCCCCACCACUGUUUCUUGCCUGCUCUGUAGUGGGACCUAUGCUCCAGCGUCAUUUUCAAAUUUUUCUGAGACUUACCCCCACAAAACAUACGCAGAAACUUCAGCAUCAGGGGAACUGAGCCUGUGAAAACCACUUUAGGCAGACAUACUUGAUGGUUAAGUCAGUGCACUACACAGAAGGGGACUUGAAAGCACACCGACAAAGAAGAAGAUAUCCAGAAAUUAUAAUAUGUUGUAGAUUAUAAUAUUGCUUCUUCUUGUGAAGAAAACCUCAAUGCUUAAAUGGGUCAUUUAAAACUCUUCCCACAGUAAUUUCAAGACUUACUUGAAAAUUUCAUUUACAAUUCUGAAAAUGGCAGGAUGGCUUGCUGCUUGUGGCUGUCGAUAAACAAAUGAAAGAAAAUUAGAUAUUAAUAAGAAACAACUCAAGACAACUGUCACUGCAUAAUUAACAGAUUAACUCAUGGAUGCUAUUACAUAGCCAUUAUUAAACUGUAACUCUCAGAUCAGCUCUUACUAAACCCUCAGAUUUUCUCAGGAUUAGAAUUCUUAGGAUUCUCCAUAGCGAGACCAAGCAGGCUCAACAGCUGAUAAAUGCAAACACCUGGGAUCCUAAACUGUUUAUGACAACAAUCACUACAAAUACUAAAGGUGGCAGACAGAAAGAACACGUUGUUGCAUGCAAUUGCUAGAGGCAAGACACAAGGAGUAGAUUUUCAAAAAGCUUUUCCUUCCUCUUUGCAGACAAUCCUUUCUGGAUGUGCUUUGAGACUCUUGCUACAUCUUCAAAAUUAAAUUCCAGAAAUUAAAUUGAUUUUAUCGCCUUUGUCUUUAAUAGUUUUGCAUGCAUUUUGAUCCAAGACAUUUUUUCACAGUAUUAUCUUCUUUGUGAACUUCAGAGUUGCUAGUACAAGCUAAAUACCUCAGUGCAUCAAUUUUUUUUUUAAACUAGUGAAGCCUUUUACCAUGCUCCCACACGAAAGACUGUUUUGAGAAAGUUAUCUUAAAUAUGCACCAGUAAACACACUGCUUUUUAAUUCCAUAUUCUUAGGCUUUUAUAAAACACCUAGAAUAAAAACCACUUACAAUUCCCCAAAGUACUAAGUUAAAGUCUAAGUUAAAAAGCGAAUCCUUGAUUAGUGUCUCUGAUGUUAGACCUGAAGAUUUGGUAAGACUAUAGUUCUUGAAGAACUAGAGUAAAGAUUGUCUAACAAAAUGCAUUCUCUAACCUUUAGGAAGCAUAGUGUUUAUAAAAUGGCAUUUAGUAAUACAGCUUAAAGUGCGUAACACACUACUGAAAACUUGUAUGCAUUUGUUUCAAGCUAAAACGUACCAAGCAGAAAAUUAAUAUUGUAAUAAUACAUAUAACUUACGUUUAUAAAAAACCAACAGUUUUAAUAAUUAUGAUAAUACUAUUAAUAACAAUAACGCAAAUAAAAAAAUAUCCUUUUAAUUAUACACAGGGAGAAUGAGGACUUGGCUUAAUACAAUCCCUACAUGGUAAUAUUAGAAAACAACCAACCCUUACAUAAAACUGUCUAAAAACUGUCUCCCCGUCUCCCCCAGUUGUCUCUGCCAUACUGUGAACAGGAGGCGGCCCCUCAUUUUGCUGUUUUGCCCCGUUUUCUUUGCGCCGCGGCUGCAGCCAAGCUGUGCUAUCGAACGUGCGCCACCUCCCGCUCCAGAGCCGGCACAGCCGGCGGCUGCCCCCAAAUCCCAGUGCCGCCGGAGGGAGAGAAGAAACCGCCGCGAUGAGACGAACAGGAGGCACGGGCCUCUCCUUCUUUUGCGGGUUUCUUUUGUUUGUUUAGUUUUGGUUUUGGGUUGUUUUUCUGUUUGUUGGUUUGGGUUUUUUUUAAGAAAAUGUUUGACUAGAUAGAUCUCCAAAGCUGCCUUCCAAAUGGAACCCUUCUGAGGUUCUAGAGAGCAAUGGAGAGUAUGGUUUCAGCCCUGUGGGCUAAAUGGUUGAUUCAGUGAUUUCCCCCACUGUCUUUCAGACACUCUACCUAUCUUUGCACACACACUUCUAUGAUGAUGAACCAACACACUGUAGCUUAAGACAGGUUGGAUACAAACCAGAAAGGGUCCACCAGCACAUUGGCUCACAUACCAAAAUCAAAUCCUAGUUCUUUUGAACAAGUCCAAAAUAAAUAUAUACAAAGUGCCAGAUGUGUUUUUAUUUUGAUUCCAUCAAUAUUAUGAAUAAUUUUAUCUAUACUUCCUCUUUUCUUCCUCAUUAAUGCCUGUUUCACCGGCUCUGUACAUUGGGGAGUAUCUUGACUGCAGAGCUCAGGCACAGUGGGGAUAAGGCUGAGUGCCUUUGGUGACAAUCAGAGGCACUGUCUCUCCCAGCAAGGCAGAGAUCCUGCUGGGAGUCUGUUACAGACCACCCACCCAGGAUGAAGUGAAAUAUUCUAUCAGUGGAUGUUUCAUGAUCUCUAGCCCUUGUUCUUGUGGGAGAUUUUAACUUGCCAAGUGUCUGCUGGAAGCACAGCACAGUGGAGAGGAGACAGUCUAGGAGGUUCCU